rnacentral:misc_RNA from 1 species
CGGCCACUUGGUCCUCAUAUUGAAAUACUAAGUCCCUGUUUAGUAAUAUUAGCAGUUUUAGUAUCUAUUAGCUGUUCUAUUAACUGUCGACUGUUUUAUUGGCUGUUAGCUACUUAUAUAGUAAUUUAAAAUGGAAGAGUUUGAUAAAAUUAUUGGAUUAGCGGGUAAAUAUAAAAGUAGUGGUAUUAUAUUUGUAAUCCUAAUCAAAACACUCCCUCGACAUUCAAAAGUUAGGGGCGCUAAUAUUUCAUUAACCACUCUCUCAACCUCUAAACACUAGUA